rnacentral:tRNA from 1 species
GGCUCGUUGGUCUAGGGGUAUGAUUCUCGCUUACGUUGCGAGAGGUCCCGGGUUUAAUUCCCGGACGAGCCC